GGGUCGCGAGUCUCCAGCACUAGGGCAGAGUGCCCCCAUCUCACUCGAGGACCACUGGCUCGUAACUGACUAAACCGGCGCCUGAGGAUUCAGGAAGUGUUUCUCAGCCAAUACGGAGUGCGGACAGACACGGAAUAUACAGAAGUAAACAUGGAAACCAAGAAGUUACUUUCCUCCAAUUAAGCUGAGCUACAGACUAAACCAGAAUUUCUCAGAAAAAUGGUACAAGGAAACUCUGCAUCAGUAUCACCCAGGAUGCUUAGUAAAGAAAAGAAGUUCUGGUUUUGUGGCAAACAGAUGGUUACAGUGCUGACACUUGAGUUUAACAACUGUAUGGGUUAAAGCAACUUGCUGGGAUUGUUCAGCGAGAGGCCUGAGAGGCUGGAGACCAGCUGUAGCAGAGAAACUGAUGGCACUAAGGGAAACGGCAGAGGUGUUACCUCCUCCUGAUGACACUGCUGACCUGGAGGAGGGUGGGCUUACAACCACUUGGCCCCGAGACAGGGGCACUGCUGAAGA